rnacentral:rRNA from 1 species
AUUGAACGCUGGCGGCAUGCUUUACACACGCAAGUCGAACGGUAACAGGUUAAGCUGACGAGUGGCGAACGGGUGAGUAAUGCAUCGGAACGUGCCCGAUCGUGGGGGAUAACGCAGCGAAAGCUGCGCUAAUACCGCAUACGAUCUGAGGAUGAAAGCGGGGGACCGUAAGGCCUCGCGCGAUCGGAGCGGCCGAUGUCAGAUUAGGUAGUUGGUGGGGUAAAGGCUCACCAAGCCAACGAUCUGUAGCUGGUCUGAGAGGACGACCAGCCACACUGGGACUGAGACACGGCCCAGACUCCUACGGGAGGCAGCAGUGGGGAAUUUUGGACAAUGGGCGAAAGCCUGAUUCAGCAAUGCCGCGUGCAGGAAGAAGGCCUUCGGGUUGUAAACUGCUUUUGUACGGAGCGAAAAGGUCCCCUCUAAUACAGGGGGCUCAUGACGGUACCGUAAGAAUAAGCACCGGCUAACUACGUGCCAGCCGCCGCCGUAAUAC